rnacentral:rRNA from 1 species
AUACGUAGGGGGCGAGCGUUGUCCGGAAUGAUUGGGCGUAAAGGGCGCGUAGGCGGCCCGGUAAGUCUGGAGUGAAAGUCCUGUUUUUAAGAUGGGAAUUGCUUUGGAUACUGUCGGGCUUGAGUGCAGGAGAGGUAAGUGGAAUUCCCAGUGUAGCGGUGAAAUGCGUAGAGAUUGGGAGGAACACCAGUGGCGAAGGCGACUUACUGGACUGUAACUGAAGCUGAGGCGCGAAAGUGUGGGGAGCAAACAGGAGUAGAUACCCUGGUAGUCCACACUGUAAACGAUGAAUGCUAGGUGUAGGGGGUAUCGACCCCUUCUGUGCCGCAGUCAACACAAUAAGCAUUCCGCCUGGGGAGUACGUCCGCAAGGUUGAUAUGCAAAGGAAUUCACGGG